ACACCGGCAGCUCAAGUGGUAGCCGCUUUUAUUGGGCCUAAAGCGUCCGUAGCCGGUCUGAUAAGUCUCUGGUGAAAUCCCACAGCUUAACUGUGGGAAUUGCUGGAGAUACUAUCAUGACUCGAGGUCGGGAGAGGCUGGAGGUACUCCCAGGGUAGGGGUGAAAUCCUGGAAUCCUGGGAGGACCACCUGUGGCGAAGGCGUCCAGCUGGAACGAACCUGACGGUGAGGGACGAAAGCCAGGGGCGCGAACCGGAUUAGAUACCCGGGUAGUCCUGGCCGUAAACGAUGUGGACUUGGUGUUGGGAUGGCUUCGAGCUGCCCCAGUGCCGAAGGGAAGCUGUUAAGUCCACCGCCUGGGAAGUACGGCCGCAAGGCUGAAACUUAAAGGAAUUGACGGGG
rnacentral:rRNA from 1 species